rnacentral:rRNA from 1 species
GAGCACGUAGGUGGGUUUGUAAGUCAGAUGUGAAAGCCUUCUGUUCAACGGGAGAAUUGCAUCUGAAAUUACAGACCUUGAGUAUAGGAGGGGAGAAUGGAACUUCUGGUGGAGCGGUGAAAUGCGUAGAUAUCAGAAGGAACGCCGGCGGCGAAAGCGAUUCUCUGGCCUAUUACUGACACUCAGUGUGCGAAAGCUAGGGGAGCAAACGGGAUUAGAUACCCCGGUAGUCCUAGCCGUAAACGAUGGGCACUAAGUAGAGGGG